rnacentral:rRNA from 1 species
AGUCCAUGUAUAUAUUAAAUUAAGUAAAAUGAGGAGCGUCUGUUGAACAACUACACAAGACAAUGCUAAGAUAUAUAUCUAUGUAUAUUUUCUGAUACCUGUUCAGUUACAAUUCUAUAUUGUAAAACAACGGGAAUUCCCUUAAAGUAGGAAUUAAUUGUCUAAAUAACAAUUAUGUGAAUGGUAUAACGACUUCUCUAUUGUCUCCACUAAGUUCUCUAUGAAAUAGUCUUAGAUUUGAAUAGAAAUCUUGAUAUACUGGGACGGAUAGACCCCGUGCACCUUUACUUCUCUUAAAAGUUUUGC